GAAAAUCCGUCGAAUUUAAAAAUCGUGAGGGUUCAAGUCCCUCUAUCCC
rnacentral:tRNA from 20 species